rnacentral:rRNA from 1 species
CCUACGGGAGACUGCAGUGAGGAAUAUUGGUCAAUGGGCGCGAGCCUGAACCAGCCAAGUCGCGUGAGGGAAGACGGCCCUACGGGUUGUAAACCUCUUUUGCCGGGGAGCAACGGGCGCCACGUGUGGCUCCACUGAGAGUACCCGGAGAAAAAGCAUCGGUUAACCCCGUGCCAGCAGCCGCGGUAAUACGGGGGAUGCGAGCGUUAUCCGGAUUUAUUGGGUUUAACGGGUGCGUAGGCGGGGCGUUAAGUCAGGGGUCAAAUUGAGGGGCUCAACCCCGGCCCGCCAUUGAAACUGGCGCUCUUGAGAGGAAGAGAGGUAUGCGGAAUGCGUGGUGUAGCGGUGAAAUGCAUAGAUAUCACGCAGAACCCCGAUUGCGAAGGCAGCAUGCCGGCUUCCGACUGACGCUGAGGCACGAAAGCGUGGGGAUCGAACAGGAUUAGAUACCCUUGUAGUC